rnacentral:rRNA from 1 species
CCCGCCGAGGCCAUUGCUAUCGGAGUUCGAUUUAGCCAUGCUAGUCGCACGGGCUUAGACCCGUGGCGAAAAGCUCAGUAACACGUGGCCAAACUACCCUAUGGAUCGGAAUAACCUCGGGAAACUGAGGUCAAUUCCGAAUAUCGCUCCUGCACUGGGAUGUGCGGAGCACGAAACGCUACGGCGCCAUAGGAUGUGGCUGCGGCCGAUUAGGUUGACGGUGGGGUAACGGCCCACCGUGCCCAUAAUCGGUACGGGUUGUGAGAGCAAGAGCCCGGAGACGGUAUCUGAGACAAGAUACCGGGCCCUACGGGGCGCAGCAGGCGCGAAACCUUUACACUGCACGACAGUGCGAUAGGGGGACACCGAGUGCGAGGGCAUAGAGCCCUCGCUUUUGUAGACCGUAAGGAGGUCUACGAAUAAGGGCUGGGCAAGACCGGUGCCAGCCGCCGCGGUAACACCGGCAGCCCAAGUGAUGGCCGAUAUUAUUGGGCCUAAAGCGUCCGUAGCUGGCCAGUCAAGUCUGUCGGGAAACCUGCCCGCUCAACGGGCAGUCGUCCGGCGGAAACUGAUUGGCUUGGGACCGGGAGACUCGAGGAGUACGUCCGGGGUAGGAGUGAAAUCCUGUAAUCCUGGACGGACUACCGAUGGCGAAAGCACCUCGAGAGAACGGAUCCGACAGUGAGGGACGAAAGCUGGGGUCUCGAACCGGAUUAGAUACCCGGGUAGUCCCAGCCGUAAACGAUGCCCGCUAGGUGUGGCACAGGCUACGAGCCUGUGCUAUGCCGCAGUGAAGACCCAAGCGGGCCGCCUGGGAAGUACGUCUGCAAGGAUGAAACUUAAAGGAAUUGGCGGGGGGAGCACUACAACCGGAGGAGCCUGCGGUUUAAUGUUAU